CUUGGGAUUCGAACGGCAGGCGGGAAGUGCUCUAGCAGGGGAGUCUGACCUUGUGAGGGAAUACCUGUGUCCCCCCUUUUUUCCCCUUUUUACCCAAUAAAACCCUGCCUUACUCACCCUUUAAAUCAUCUGCGAGCCUGAAUUUUCAUGGCCGUGGGACGGACAAGAACUUUAUCUUCAGCUGAACUAAGAAAAAGUCCUGCAACAUUUUUGGCGCGCAAUGUGGGGGCACCAGAAGCGGGCACCGUUGAGCUGUUGCAACUGUUCUGCUGGAGCCUUAUGUAUGUGGUUGAAACCACCUGUACUACUGGAAUGAAAGCACCUUUACAGAAGAGGCAAUGCAAGUUGUAUUCAUCACAUGUGUAGAAUGAAUUAAGAUUUAUGCCAGUUGCAAAGAAGAAUAUUGGCUCACUAUUUUUCCUCUGGGCAUGUGGAAAUGUAAAUCAGUCCAUGUUACUCACCUCGGAGAAGCAGAAGUACGAUUUACUAUUGUUGCUUGCUUACUUACUCUUAUCAAUUUCUAUGAGAGGAUGGCAAAUACAGUGGUUGAAGCUGGGGGCAUGAUGAUAAAAGAACUCUAGAACUUCAGGAUUCUCCAUUGUUCUGGCAUUGCUGCCCACCAGCAGAGGAUCAGGCUGACAUCUUCAGGAGGCAUAUGGAG
rnacentral:lncRNA from 10 species